rnacentral:misc_RNA from 1 species
AAAUAUUCCAUACAUUGCACACACGCAACAUGGGAAACAGAAACAAAUAAAUAAUCCAAUUAAGUAGGCCCUUAAAGGAGUUUGGUUCAACUAAAAACCACUGGAGAAGUACUGAAUCAAUGCAUAGUGAAUCAACUUGUGGCACAAUAGAUGCAAAAUUGACCACAAAUCAAUGUUUACCAAAAAUAAAAAACAAACCAGCAAAAGAUUAAAAUGUUAGAUGAUAUGAAGGAGGGAUACAAAUCUAAUACUCAAAAUUGGGUGGGGGAAGCAUUUGCAAUACAAGGAUAGCAAGCAGCAGCAAGUACACCAUGUGUUGAUGAAUGCAUGCAAUUGUAG